CAGACGCACGCGAGCCAGUGCGCGAGCAGAGCGAAGACGGACAUGAGGAGCGUGAGCACCACGGCGCUGUACUGCGAGUAACGGUCCACCUUCUGCAGCAGACGCAGCAGACGUAACAGACGCACCGUCUUCAGCAGAUCUUUACAGCAGCUCACCACUGAAAUGUUGAAAACGUAGAGCAGGUCAAAGGGCAGGGCAGCGAUGAGGUCCAGGAUGAACCAGGUGGCAGAAUAAUGUAUACAGAUGGAGCGAGCGUCGUACACCACCUGACCGGCCGGCCCCACGUAUGUAGUGCGGAAAUUCAGGACGAUAUCUGUCAUGGAUGAGGCACGAUGUCCAGCAGGCACCAGAACGGAGUUCCUGAAGCCCAACAAGAAGAUUCAUGAUAUAAAUCUUAUUUUAUUUAAAAAAACCAAAACCAAAAUCUUUUUCAAGACGCUUGCAUACAUUCAUA